rnacentral:lncRNA from 1 species
CUGUGGGGAGGUGAGCUCAUCCCAUCCUGUCCCUAUAACUGCUGCCCUUUCUGGGCCCUUUCAGCCUUAGAGAAACACAAGGUCAUCAUGGCACAACACAGUGGAAGCAGGGACUGGCCCAAGCCGGGCCCUACCAGGAAGAGACAAGACAAGAUCCCUGUUACCCAAGGCUGAGGGAGAGCAGACUGAACCAGCAGCACCUGUGAAGUUUCAGUGGGAGGGAAGAAACCCCUGGAUGUUACAGGUGUGAACAGCAUCUGAGUGGAAGGACUCCUAGA